rnacentral:rRNA from 1 species
CAAACUCCUACGGGAGGCAGCAGUGAGGAAUAUUGGUCAAUGGACGAGAGUCUGAACCAGCCAAGUAGCGUGCAGGAUGACGGCCCUAUGGGUUAGUAAACUGCUUUUAUAAGGGAAUAAAAGUGAGUCUCGUGAGACUUUUGCAUGUACCUUAUGAAUAAGGACCGGCUAAUUCCGUGC